CGGAGCGUAGCGCAGCCUGGUAGCGCAUCUGCUUUUGGAGCAGAGGGUCGCGAGUUCGAAUCCCGCCGCUCCGACCA
rnacentral:tRNA from 1 species